rnacentral:rRNA from 1 species
GGGUUAGUAGGUUGGUCAUGCCUCUGGUAUGUACUGGUCUCACUGAUUCCUCCUUCCUGAUGAUCCGUAAUGCCAUUUAUUUGGUGUUGCGGGGAAUUUGGACUGUUACUUUGAAAAAAUUAGAGUGUUUAAAGCAAGCUAACGCUUGAAUACAUUAGCAUGGAAUAAUGAAAUAGGACGUUCGAUCCUAUUUUGUUGGUUUCUAGGAUUGACGUA